AUCGCCGAGCACCUUAAGUCUCAAGGU
rnacentral:piRNA from 1 species